GGGGUCGUUACGGAUUCGACAGGCAUUAUGAGGUACAUUCUGCGACUCAUCGGCAGAUGUAAAAAUGCCAGUUAAAUAUAACUGCAAAAAAUACAAAUUCUUACGCUGUAGCUGCCUAAAAACCAGCUCGCGUGAUCUCUACAGGAUUGCUUGUGUUUUGCUAGAGGUUUCAUUGAUUAGCAAGCUACGUUUGACUAUUGCCUAGCUAGUUAAAAAGAGAUUUAUAGGCUCGCUUAAUCUAGGUUUGAGUUAUGUAUCGAGCUUAAGUUAAAUUAAAGACAUAACCUAUGGUUGUAGACGAAUGUAUUGGCAGGUGUUUGGACGUGGGUUCGACUCCCACCGGCUCCAUAA
rnacentral:tmRNA from 1 species